AGGACGAACGCUGGCGGCGUGCUUAACACAUGCAAGUCGAACGGGGCACUUCGGUGCUUAGUGGCGAACGGGUGAGUAACACGUGAGCAACCUGCCCUUGGCUCUGGGAUAGCCUCCGGAAACGGGGAUUAAAUACCGGACAGGACCCUGGUCUGCAUGGACCGGGGUGGAAAGUUUUUCGGCCAGGGAGGGGCUCGCGGCCUAUCAGCUUGUUGGAGGGGUAACGGCCCACCAAGGCGACGACGGGUAGCC
rnacentral:rRNA from 1 species